UACAGAGGGUGCGAGCGUUAAUCGGAAUUACUGGGCGUAAAGCGCGCGUAGGCGGCUUUGCAAGUCGAGUGUGAAAUCCCCAGGCUUAACCUGGGAACUGUAUUCGAGACUGCAUAGCUAGAGUAUGGGAGAGGGAAGUGGAAUUUCAGGUGUAGCGGUGAAAUGCGUAGAUAUCUGAAGGAACAUCAGUGGCGAAAGCGACUUCCUGGACCAAUACUGACGCUCAUGUGCGAAAGCGUGGGGAGCAAACAGG
rnacentral:rRNA from 1 species